rnacentral:sRNA from 1 species
AGGUCCGGGGGUUCGAAUCCCUCACUCUCCGC